CCUACGGGUGGCAGCAGUCGAGAAUCAUUCACAAUGGGGGAAACCCUGAUGGUGCGACGCCGCGUGGGGGAAUGAAGGUCUUCGGAUUGUAAACCCCUGUCAUGUGGGAGCAAAUUAAAAAGAUAGUACCACAAGAGGAAGAGACGGCUAACUCUGUGCCAGCAGCCGCGGUAAUACAGAGGUAUCAAGCGUUGUUCGGAAUCACUGGGCGUAAGGCGUGCGUAGGCUGUUUCGUAAGUCGUGUGUGAAAGGCGCGGGCUCAACCCGCGGACGGCACAUGAUACUGCGAGACUAGAGUAAUGGAGGGGGAACCGGAAUUCUCGGUGUAGCAGUGAAAUGCGUAGAUAUCGAGAGGAACACUCGGGGCGAAGGCGGGUUCCUGGACAUUAACUGACGCUGAGGCACGAAGGCCAGGGGAGCGAAAGGGAUUAGAUACCCUGGUAGUC
rnacentral:rRNA from 1 species